rnacentral:rRNA from 1 species
GUCUACAGCCAUACCCCCCUGAACAAGUUCGAUCUCAGAAGCUAAACAGGGUCAGGCCUGGUUAGUGCUUGGAUGGGAGAAAAAUAAUCUGAAAAGAAAUACUAGUGGUAGGGGGUC